UUAACACAUGCAAGUCGAACGAGAAAACCACUUCGGUGGCGAGUACAGUGGCGAACGGGUGAGUAACACGUGGGUAACGUACCAUCAGGAUGGGGGAUAACAGCUCGAAAGGGCUGCUAAUACCGCGUACGUCCAGAGGUUCAUCGGGACUUCUGGGGAUAGGCUUCGGCCGACUGAUGAUCGGCCCGCGUCCCAUUAGCUAGUUGGUGGGGUAAUGGCCUACCAAGGCUUCGAUGGGUAGCUGGUCUGAGAGGACGAUCAGCCACACUGGGACUGAGACACGGCCCAGACUCCUAUGGGAGGCAGCAGUGAGGAAUCUUGCGCAAUGGGGGAAACCCUGACGCAGCAUCGCCGCGUGAGUGACGAAGGCCUUCGGGUUGUAAAGCUCUGUCGGGAGGGAAGAAGGUCACUUCGGUGGCUUGACGGUACCUCGCAAGAAAGCACCGGCUAACUCC
rnacentral:rRNA from 1 species